AUUGAACGCUGGCGGCAGGCCUAACACAUGCAAGUCGAACGGUAACAGGAAGCAGCUUGCUGCUUCGCUGACGAGUGGCGGACGGGUGAGUAAUGUCUGGGAAGCUGCCUGAUGGAGGGGGAUAACUACUGGAAACGGUAGCUAAUACCGCAUAAUGUCGCAAGACGAAAGAGGGGGACCUUCGGGCCUCUUGCCAUCGGAGGUGCCCAGAUGGGUUUAGCUUGUUGGUGGGGUAACGGCUCACCAAGGGGACGAUCCGUAGCUGGUCUGAGAGGAGGACCCACACCCGGGGAGCUGAGCACCGGCCCAGCCUCCUAGGGGAGGACGCGGUGGGGAAUUUUGCACAAGGGGGGCAACCCUGAUCCGGCCAUGCCGGGGGUAUGAAGAAGGCCUGCGGGUUGUAAAACUCUUUUGUGGGGGAGGAAGGAAUUUAGGUUAAUCCCUCGGGUCAUUGACGUUCCCGGAAAAAAAAGCCCCGGCAACCUCCGU
rnacentral:rRNA from 1 species